GUGGGGAAUAUUGGACAAUGGGGGGAACCCUGAUCCAGCCAUGCCGCGUGUGUGAAGAAGGCCUUUUGGUUGUAAAGCACUUUAAGCGAGGAGGAGGCUACCGAGAUUAAUACUCUUGGAUAGUGGACGUUACUCGCAGAAUAAGCACCGGCUAACUCUGUGCCAGCAGCCGCGGUAAUACAGAGGGUGCGAGCGUUAAUCAGAUUUACUGGGCGUAAAGCGUGCGUAGGCGGCUUUUUAAGUCGGAUGUGAAAUCCCCGAGCUUAACUUGGGAAUUGCAUUCGAUACUGGGAAGCUAGAGUAUGGGAGAGGAUGGUAGAAUUCCAGGUGUAGCGGUGAAAUGCGUAGAGAUCUGGAGGAAUACCGAUGGCGAAGGCAGCCAUCUGGCCUAAUACUGACGCUGAGGUACGAAAGCAUGGGGAGCAAACAGGAUUAGAUACCCUGGUAGUCC
rnacentral:rRNA from 1 species